UACAGAGGGGGCAAGCGUUAUUCGGAUUUACUGGGCGUAAAGGGCGCGUAGGCGGUCAGCACAAGUCGGUUGUGAAAUCUCCGGGCUUAACUCGGAAAGGUCAACUGAUACUGUGCGACUAGAGUGCAGAAGGGGCAACUGGAAUUCUCGGUGUAGCGGUGAAAUGCGCAGAUAUCAGGAGGAACACCAAUGGCGAAGGCAGCUCGCUGGGACGUGAACUGACGCUGAGACGCGAAAGCGUGGGGAGCAAACAGG
rnacentral:rRNA from 1 species